AUGUAUUAUCAACUUUUGGCCAAGAUCAACACCUUAACAUAUGUGCAAGUGACGACGUGGAGGAGCAUGGUAAUUACAAUUAGAUCCUGUACUAACUUUCUGUCCCUCUGUGCAACAACGCUAAAGAUAGAAGGAAGUUCCUUGAGACAAUGUGAAGACUCAGUGAAAGCAAGCUGUGUGUGGCAUUGGACUGUAGUGAAGAGAUGUCUUGUAAUUUGGUAUGUGCUUGCUUUGUAGAGUUUUCAUCCAUGUAAGUAGCUGUGUGAAGGAGGAGCACUGCAUUAUCCCCCUACAGCAUCAACUGCAACAAGAGCCAGAGAGGAGGGAUGUGCAACAAGCAAUUUCAAAGCUCUCUGAGAUGAAAUAAGGAUCAUAAAACUCACAAUUUGCAAAUAGUCUCUGUCUGCUUAAAACCUUAACACAUUUAUCUUUUGAUGUUUACCACCAAACUGCAGAUUCUGGUAAUAUAAACUUAUUGAUCCUUACUAUCACGGUUUUUUUUCGAAAAUAAUAGCUUGUUCUUUGUCCUUCUAUGUUUCCUCAGAUUCCCUUCCCCUCCGAAACCCUGGCCCCUGCCCACCUGCCUUUUUUCCCCAAAUCUUUUAUGAAUCCUGUGUAUAAUGGGCUAAUUUUAUGCACUAAGUAGGCAUGACAGUCAGCCAAUUAGAAAAACUGGAUUUGAACAUAGG
rnacentral:lncRNA from 1 species